rnacentral:rRNA from 1 species
AGUGAACGCUGGCGGCGUGCUUAACACAUGCAAGUCGAACGAGAACGGGUUAUAGCUUGCUAUAAUUGUCAGCUAAGUGGCGCACGGGUGAGUAAUGUAUAGGUAAUAUGCCUCUUACUAAGGGAUAACAAAUGGAAACGUUUGCUAAUACCUUAUACUCCUUAUUAACCUAAGUUAAUAAGGGAAAGAUUUAUUGGUAAGAGAUUAGCCUGUAUUGUAUCAGUUAGUUGGUGGGGUAAUGGCUUACCAAGACUAUGACACAUAACUGGUUUGAGAGGAUGAUCAGUCACACUGGAACUGAGACACGGUCCAGACUCCUACGGGAGGCAGCAGUGGGGAAUAUUGCACAAUGGACGAAAGUCUGAUGCAGCAACGCCGCGUGGAGGAUGACACAUUUCGGUGCGUAAACUCCUUUUAUAUGAGAAGAUAAUGACGGUAUUAUAUGAAUAAGCACCGGCUAACUCCGUGCCAGCAGCCGCGGUAAAAU